CCCUUAGAUGUUCUGGGCCACACGCGCGUUACACUGAUGAAGCCAGCGAGUAUAUCGCCUUCACCGGAAGGUGCGGGUAAUCUUGUGAAACUUCAUCGUGCUGGGGAUAGACCAUUGCAAUUAUUGGUCUUGAACGAGGAAUUCCUAGUAAGCAUGAGUCAUCAACUCGUGCUGAUUACGUCCCUGCCCUUUGUACACACCGCCCGUCGCUACUACCGAUUGAAUGGUUUAGUGAGAUCUCGGGAUUGGAGACGUUGCGCCGCAAGGCACAUCGUCCUCGAGAACUUGAUCAAACUUGAUCGUUUAGAGGAAGUAAAAGUCGUAACA
rnacentral:rRNA from 1 species